rnacentral:misc_RNA from 1 species
AAAGUCGUAACAAGGUUUCCGUAGGUGAACCUGCGGAAGGAUCAUUAGCAAGUCCGAGGACGUCCCAGCCGGACCCUGCGGGGGACGGCGACGGAGUCCCGACGAAAAGGAAGUCGAAGCGGUCGAGGUCCUCGCCGCUUCGCCGGUCCACAAACCCCUCUCGGUGUACCCAUCCUUGUUGCCUUCCCGGGCUCAACCGCCCGGGAAUGGACAGAAACCCUCUUGUAAUUGGUUGUCUGACCGGACGGCUCGCGAGCCGUCCGAAAACAAAUAACGAAACGUUAAAACUUUCAACAACGGAUCUCUUGGUUCUC